rnacentral:rRNA from 1 species
UACGUAGGGUGCAAGCGUUAAUCGGAAUUACUGGGCGUAAAGCGUGCGCAGGCGGUUAUGUAAGACAGGUGUGAAAUCCCCGGGCUCAACCUGGGAACUGCAUUUGUGACUGUAGAGCUGGAGUACGGUAGAGGGGGAUGGAAUUCCGCGUGUAGCAGUGAAAUGCGUAGAUAUGCGGAGGAACACCGAUGGCGAAGGCAAUCCCCUGGACCUGUACUGACGCUCAUGCACGAAAGCGUGGGGAGCAAACAGG